UUUAUUUUUGCCAUCUCCAAAUUUCAAUUUUCUCUUUCUGCAGCAGUAGAAGCUUCAAAUUUCUCUCUUAGGGUAUGUUUGUUUGGGUGGAAGUGGAGUGGAAGUGGCGAUCGAGAGGGGAAGUGAUCAUUUUCACCAUAAACGAUCACUUCCGUUGUUUAGUUCGUUGUAAAAAAGUUACGGUUGAAACUCAAGUUAAUCUGAAAUGGCGUAAUUGAUUUUGACCUAUCGUGGGCCGCGCGAAGUCAAUUACGUUGAAGAGAGAUAAAGAAAAAAUAAUAAAAUAAUAUACUAGGCAAAGAUAGCUAUAUUUAAAUAUAUUUAAUUAUGGUACUAAUUAUUUUUUUUAUUCAGUUGGGAUAUUUAAAAUAUGAUAAAAAUUGAUUAACUAAGUUUUAAUAUUUUCUCUAUUUAGUUUGUACAAUAAAAUUAUUAAUAAUUAAAUAUUAAUAAUUUUUUAUUUUAUAAUUUUAUUGUUAUAUUACUAUAAGUUAUGUAUAGAAAAUAAUUUAGUUGUUUCAAAUUAAAUUUUAAAUAUAUAAAAAUUUAAUUAUAUUAUUUUUAUUUAUUAAAUUAUUUACUAUUUAUAUAUAAAUUAUAGUUUUAUAUCAUACACUUCCUGCCAAACAAACAGUAAAACUAGUGAAACUUCACUUUCUUAACUACGAAACAAACAGUAUAGAAGAAAUAAUUUUUUCCGAAUUCACUUCAAUCUAAAAUUCACUUUAUCCCAGAGUCCAAUUUCGGGAAACAAACAUGCCCUUGUAUAGUGAUGCUUUACU
rnacentral:lncRNA from 1 species